AGGCAGCAGUGGGGAAUAUUGCGCAAUGGACGCAAGUCUGACGCAGCAACGCCGCGUGGGUGAUGAAGCUCCUUGGAGUGUAAAACCCUGUCAGUGGGGAAGAAACGUACGGGUAGUAACUGCCCCGUGCCUGACGGUACCCACAGAGGAAGUCCCGGCUAACUCCGUGCCAGCAGCCGCGGUAAUACGGGGGGGACUAGCGUUGUUCGGAUUUACUGGGCGUAAAGGGCGCGUAGGCGGACCUUCAAGUCGGAUGUGAAAUCUGUCGGCUUAACUGACAGUCUGCACCCGAUACUGUUGGCCUUGAGUACGGGAGAGGAGAGCGGAAUUCCUGGUGUAGCGGUGAAAUGCGUAGAUAUCAGGAAGAACACCGGUUGCGAAGGCGGCUCUCUGGACCGAUACUGACGCUUAAGCGCGAAGGCUUGGGGAGCAAACAGGAUUAGAUACCCUGGUAGUCCAAGCGGUAAACGAUGGGCACUAGGUGUCGGGGGUAUCGACCCCCCCGGUGCCGAAGCUAACGCAUUAAGUGCCCCGCCUGGGGAGUACGGUCGCAAGAUUGAAACUCAAAGGAAUUGACGGGGGCCCGCACAAGCGGUGGAGUAUGUGGUUCAAUUCGAAGCAACGCGCAGAACCUUACCUGGGCUUGACAUGCUUGGGUCCGCCGGUGAAAGCCGGCUUCCCCUUCGGGGGUCCUUGCACAGGUGCUGCAUGGCUGUCGUCAGCUCGUGCCGUGAGGUGUUGGGUUAAGUCCCGCAACGAGCGCAACCC
rnacentral:rRNA from 1 species